CCUACGGGUGGCAGCAGUGAGGAAUAUUGGUCAAUGGGCGCGAGCCUGAACCAGCCAAGUAGCGUGAAGGAUGACGGCCCUACGGGUUGUAAACUUCUUUUAUAAAGGAAUAAAGUGAGGCACGUGUGCCUUUUUGUAUGUACCUUAUGAAUAAGGAUCGGCUAACUCCGUGCCAGCAGCCGCGGUAAUACGGAGGAUCCGAGCGUUAUCCGGAUUUAUUGGGUUUAAAGGGAGCGUAGAUGGGUUGUUAAGUCAGUUGUGAAAGUUUGCGGCUCAACCGUAAAAUUGCAGUUGAUACUGGAAGUCUUGAGUGCAGUUGAGGUAGGCGGAAUUCGUGGUGUAGCGGUGAAAUGCAUAGAUAUCACGAAGAACUCCGAUUGCGAAGGCAGCUUACUAAGCUGCCACUGACAUUGAUGCUCGAAAGUGUGGGUAUCAAACAGGAUUAGAUACCCGAGUAGUC
rnacentral:rRNA from 1 species